AGCAAUUCAUUUUCUCAAAGCUGCCCCUUUUUCAAUCUUGAAAUCUGAUCGGAUAAAACGAAGGAGGGAAAAGGAAAGAGUAAGAGGUCACUUCAACCUAAAGAAACUGAGUCUACCACUGCCUCUCUGGCAGAGAAAUCAUGUGCUCUCUCUAACCCAGGUCUUUAGAUGUAAAAGAACUGGUAACUGGGAGGUCAAGGGCUCAAUCUGUUUUUGUUUCUUGAGCUGGCAAAAGGCAAUCUUUCCCAUGUGCUCCUACUCACAAAGAUUUCACAAUUUGAUGAUGACUCACACAUCUGCAUGGAAAAAUAUGCUACUACCCUCAGCUGCAGUAGUUUAUGCCUUUCGCUCAUCUAGAAUGAUUACCCAGAAGUAUGUAAUAGUCACCUAAUGGGGAGCAGGUGUGAGAAGAAACAGUCAUUUUGAACAAAGGGAAUGGACGUACAUUGCAGCAUGAAGGAUUUAGGUUAGACAUCCACUCGCGGGGAGAAUUCUCUUCUGUCAGCAAGAGCAGUGAAACACUGGGAUACGGGAUGAAAGCAGAGUUGUGGCACAUUCUCAGGGCAUUUGAAAAGAAAAGGCCAGGUGGUUUGAUUUCAAUGCUUUCUGAACUGCUCCUCUCAGAGGGAGGCGAAUGAAUUCUGUGAUGGCUGAGGAUCAUUUUCAGUUCUGUGAUUCAUGAGCUCCGAGUUCUGGGGACAUCUGAUUAAAAACCAAGUCAAAGAGCCGCAUAUUCCAGAGGUCCUUUCUGAUCAUCCUGAUUGAUACCGGGAUUUCAUUUUUGGCAUGGUGAGGGUGGCCAAUAAGUAUUUGUUAAGACCAAUUUUGUAUAAUGUCUUUUUCUUUGGAUGAUUUUUUACCUGCAUCUUCAAUGGUCAUAGAAAUGGUCUUUCCUAGGGGUUUAAAACGUAUUGCAAGUAGAGUAUCAUCUGGAAUACUCAAGAGAUCCAAAAAGCCAUCAGACAUUCUUUCUCUCCGUAUUAUUUGGAAUCGUCCAACUUUUAACAGGCUGUACAAUUGUCCUUUAUUUUCCUUUCUAAUUGGAAUUUCAACUAGGAAUGCCUGUAGGUAUUGAAUGCCCUCACUUCAAAUGACUUGCUGCACUAGGCAAUGAUAAAGGAUGCCCAUACAUUGGCCCAAAAUUGCUACACUGCCAUCAUUUUUGGUACGAUACCAUAUUAAAACCUAUGUCUUGAGAGACAGUGACAGUGCCUAAAAAUAAUGGAGAUGAGAUUUUCCCAGCUUUUCGGAGGAUCCUGAAAAUAAAAUACUACUUGCCUUCUAAGUGACGAAUGAUAUCUUCUUAUAAACAGCAUCGUAAGAUCACACACACAUACACAUACCCACGAAAAUCACAUAAAGAUGAGAAAUGGGCAUUUGAGUUUCUAGUGAAUAUUUUCUAGAUCCAUGGGUGAGCAGCAGUGGAUGUGCAGUGAAAUUCACAGCAGGCAGAUGGGAACGUGGAGAAAUUCUACAAACCUUUGGGAGCCAGACAGCUCCAACCUCAAGAAGCCAAAUGCCAGCUCUACGAGGACAGGAACAUUGUCUGUCUUGUUCGUUGUUGCUUUCCCAGAGCUUGGACUAGGUCUGUGACAUGUCACAUUUAAUAAGUGAAAAAAAUUAAUGGAUGGAUUGCUCUACAGAGAAGAGAUAUUCAAGUCACUUCUGAAUAAGUUCUCAGACAACAACUUCUUGUGUAUAGUCGUGUACCACAUGAUGUUUACUUCAACAGCAGACUGCUAUGUGAUGGUGGUUCUGUAAGAUUAUAUCGGAACUGAAAAAUUCCUAUUACCUAGUGAUGUCUUAGCCAUCCUAAAGUCAUAGGGUAGUGCAUUACCUUUUCUAUGUUUAGAUAAACAAAUACCAUUGUUUUACAGUUGCCUACAGAAUUCAGUAUAGUGACACACUCAACAGGGUUAUAGUAUAGGAGCAAUAGGCUAUACCAUAUAGCCUAGGUGUAUAGUAGGCUGUACCAUCUAGGUUUGUAUAAGUACAUGUUCACACGAUGACAAAAUUGCCUAAUGACUAAUUCCUCAGAACAUACUCG
rnacentral:lncRNA from 1 species